AAUGAGUAGAGACGGUUUAAUUGGUGGGGGGCAAAAGGGGCAUAAUUAGUUUGUUUAAAGUAUAAGAGGUUAAUUUGUUGGAAAUGAGGAGACAUUGGCAUUUUAUGGUUAGGAAUGAAGGAAAUAUUUUAACUCUGAAAGCAUAAUUCAUAUAUAUUUAUCCAUAUGCCAUCCACGUGCAAAGAUCUGAGUUCAUUUAGGCCAAAAUCUCAGCAAAAGUAAGUUUUUUUGAAUAUAUUUUACUGAGUUUUAAGUUGGAUUUUACUUGACCUAAAUCUUAUCGUAACAGACUGUCAUAUAAUUGUAUAGGCUGAAGUUACUUUUGGCCAUUAUUUAUAACUGUAUCGUAUGUAUGAAUCGAUUGAUACGCUUUGUUUAAAGUAAAAAAGAAAUUGAGAGAGAUAGGAAGGAGAUUUGUAACGAUACAUUUUCUGAUAUAAACACUCUCAAUAUUUGUGUGUGCGUGUUUUUGUGUGUAGAUACAAAUAUCAUUAAUUCAAUCAACCUGUCAAUCGAUUGAUUAUUUCCCUAUAUUCAUAAGAUGGCAAUGAUUUUGGAAUACGGAGAGGGACGGUUUAAACACUUCGAUUCUAGUCAUUCAAAGUUUGUUGGUAGAGGCAAAGGAUAAAUUUAAAAGAAUGAAUGAACACAAUGGCCAGGAUGAAAAUGGAUCUAGCAAGACAAAACUAAAUAAUAACAAUAAUAACAGUAGUAAUAGUAAUAAUAAUAAUAAUAAUAAAGAGUACGAAUCGUUAAAGAGGAAGAAAAGUUUUAAAGCUUGUAAGAGAUGCGAAGAAUUGAAAAGUCAAAUAGAAACUUUAACGGAUGCUUUCAAAGACGAAAAGAGAAAUUUGAGAUUGGAUAAAAUUAAUCUUAUGCACGAAGUUAGAAAAUUAAGGAAAUCUCAGAUGGAAAGGGAAAUCUUUGUUGAGAAUUUCUGCCGUCAAUACGAACAGAAAAUGAUUAAAUUUGAUGAAACUCUUUUGGAAACUAUUCGCGAAAAGAAGAAUUUGGAAAUUCUCAAUUCAGAAUUGAAAAAAGAAAAGGAGAAUCUCGCUAAAAAAAUCGAUACUAGCAGACAACAAUUAAUGCUUGCAAAUUCGAGAAUUUUACUAUUGGAAAGGGAACGAACUACGUCGACCAAAAAGAAAAAAGGACAGACGAGAGCUCAUUCGGCGAGCAAUUUAAGCCCCUUGGACCGUCAUCUAAUCAUUUCUGAGCCUAUUGAAUCGCUGAUUAAUAGGAAUAUAAACGGAAAGCCAAUUUCCUCCGAAAGCUUACAUUCUUUCAAAAAUCGAGACAAAGACGUCCAAAAUGAGGAGAGUUUAAAAGCUACAGAUGGAGCCACCGAUAAGAUUGAUCGUAAACGAAUGGAAGAGGAUCAAGUUCGGCAAGUGGUAGACACUUGGCAAAAAUUGAGUAAGAAGAGGACGAGCUUUUCAAAUAUUUCCAAGUUUUUCGGUAGAAAUCGAAAUAGUAGAAGCGAUUUGAGAAAGACGAAAAGUCUUCGAGAUUUUACAGUCGAUGAAGUCGCCGCCUGGUUUGAUCAAUUUUUAGGUAUGGCUUGCUAUAAAGAGGAGAUAAAAGAUAGCGUUUGCGAUGGAAAGAUGCUUUUGGGUGUUGAUACUUCGGCGUUGAGUUCAAUCAUUAAGUUCAAGUCACCUUUACAUUGUAGAAAAGUAAAAAUCGCUUUGGAAAGAUACAGAAACGAUACCUCGAAUCCGUAUUCUUUAACGGAUUACAUAGACAACUAUUGGGUAUCGACUACGUUCCUGGAACACGUUGGACUUACUAGAUACGCAAAUAAAUUUACUGAACAAUUGAUUGACGGUCCAGUUUUAUUAUCAUUAGUCGAAAGAGAUUUGGAAGAGUUUUUAGAAAUAAACGAAUCUUUCCAUAAAAUUAGUAUCAUUUGUGGUAUAGCAAUGAUGAAAAUUCUCUCAAUGAAUAAGAACUUGUUGGAAGAGAGGCAGAAAAAGUGCGAGACUAUUGACGAAGAUUUAUUGGUUUGGAGCAAUUAUCGUGUUCGAAAGUGGUUAGAUAGUAUAAAUCUUCAACAAUAUUCGGAUAAAAUUGUAGAUAGUGGUAUACACGGUGCAGUUUUCCUCCUUGACGAACACUUCCAAGCUGAAUAUUUAGUGGAAAAAUUAGCUAUUAGUCAGAGAAGUUUGAGGAAACACCUGUCGGAGCGCUUUGAAGUUCUUACGAGAUCUGCCAGACCCACUAGUGCGAUUUUUAGUGAUUCGACGAACGAAAGAAGAAGCUCUGCAAAUUCUUGGAAAGAUUCUCUUGGAAGGAUUUUAAGAGGAAGAUCGAGAAGUAGAUCAGACGCUUUUAAUUGAAAACUUUCAUUUUUUUUUUGACAAGCAAAUUUUAUUGACAUAUACAAAAUAUUUACAGAGCAUAUGAUGAAUGUUCAUGCAGUGUAGGCGACAUAUAUAAAAAUAUAAAAUAUAUUUGCAUGCAUUAAAUAUAUACAUAUAUGUAUAUAUAUAAGAUCUAUGGAAAAUGCAUAUAGAAUUUUAGCAUAAACUCUUACAGCAUAGCUUGGAUGUAUGCAUAUAUACAUACUGAUAGUCGUUUUUAUAAAAGUACGUACUGUUCAUACAGUAUGUAUAUUAAGGAAACAAAUAUAUUUUUGUAUUAGUAUUAUGUCUACAACUACGAAGAAUUUGCACAAUUAUUAAACUUUUAUCGUUCAUUGUUUCUUACAUUUCUCCUUUUUCUAUUUAUUUUAACAUUUUUCUUUUAAAAAAAAAAAAAACAAUAAAAGAAAAGUGAGAAAACCUUAAAUUAUAAUUCAAACAAAUAAAAAAAAAGGAAAAACAAACAAACAAACAAACAACGAAAAAAUACUGAAAAGUAUAACAUAUAAUAUCACAUUCUGUGCUCUUUUUCAUUAUUUUAAGUACGAAAAGGGAAGGAAACAAAUGUUUUUUCCCUUUUUUCUCAUACUUAUUCACCUUUGACGGAGACGAUAUUAUUCAAAGCAAAAAAUUGGCACAUGGAAAAAAAAUUACAAUACACCCUUUUCAUUUUCCUCCGACUGACUAAAUGAAACGUGGAAACUGUUUCUUUUUAUUUUGUUUUUUUCUCAAUUAAUUUUUAUUUUUUUGUUAUUUUUUCCUCUUUUAAUAAAGAUUUUGGACGGAUAUUCAAUUCUUUCCAUUAUGUAAAAUAUAUAUAAAGAUAUUCCACCUCUAGAUAAAUAUUCAAAAAUAUAUUAUUAUUAUUAUUAAUAUUAAUUGUGUUCAUUAGUCAAUUUUUACGAAUAGAUUAUGUAGUGUUGUUUUAUGAUGCUACUGCUACAAAAAACAAUUCAAAAUUUGCUCAAAUUGUCAUAUUUUACAAAUAAAGGAAAAAGGUAUAAAAAGGAAAACAAAAAACAAAACUGCACAUUUUAAUACAUCUUAUAUUAUCAUACAAUAUAUGACAGAAACAUAUUGUGUAAUGCGUGACGUAACAAUGCUGUUGGACAGAUUGCAGGUAUGUGCUUGUUCUUCAUAAAACUAAAAAACAAACAGAGAAAAACAAACAAAUAAACGUUUCGUUCGAUUGGUCCGCUUUCACCAGCCUAGAAUUAUUCUUGUUACUCAUUAUUAGGUCAGCGUAUUUUAGAAAAAAUAACAAUCGUGUUGAUAUGAUUUAUUUUUUCUGAAAUGGUGUGCUUUCCUAAUAAAAAGCAAUAAGAUUUUUCUCUCUUUAUAUAUAUACUGUAUAUGCUUUUAAUACAAUUUAAUAUAUAACAACCUGGAUAAAUGAGGCACUAAAUAUUUUCAAUUUUGCAUAUGUUAAUUAAUAAAUUACAUUGACGAUACAUAUGUGUACCUGUAAAAUUUGGAUUUAUUCCUAUGUACAAAGAUGAUAUGAUUGUAGAUUGUUAUAUGUAUAAAAUGGACGUUAUGCAACUGUAUCUCGUAAAAGUAGAGAGUAGAAUAGAUGUUUAGAAUAGAAAAUAACGAUUAUAUACUAUACAAAUAUAUAUAUGUAUAUUUAAAGAAUUUAGUGUUAUACGCUACAAAUUCUCUUUCCCUCCUUACAGGCGAAAAGUUUCAAUUCUUUCUUAUUUUCCUCGAAAUUACUUUGAUUGCAUUUUUCAAAAUGAUUAUUAAGAAAGAACUUGAACAAACAAAGAAAGAAGACAGCAAGGAGAAAAAGUUAAUGUCAUUCGUUUCAUUCCUUUUUUUUUUCACUUUAAAAGAAAAAAGACGAAGAAAAGGAAGAAUAUACACAGGGAUGACAAAGGAUAAAGUACACCAAUUUUAUCCUAUAAAAGUCUAUAAUCGUUAAUUAAUUAUAAAGCCGUCUGAUGCACGUAGAUAUGUCCGUCGAAAGCAGCCGUAAAUAGUAUUUCCUUACUGCAGUAAAGGUGUGUUAAGUAAGUAAUGGCGAUAGAAUUCAUUUGACGGUAAAACUCUCAUUAAUUGCAUUAUAGGAGCAUGAAAAUAUAUACUGUAUACAUAUAUAUGUACAUAUACAUGUAUAUAUUAAUAUAUAUCUAUAUACGGUAUAUAUAAUUUACUUAGGGUGUGUAUUUCGUAAUUCCCUAUAUGAGAAUAGAGUUUUGGCAAACUUCCAGAAAAACAUUGUACCUUAUUGUAUCUGCCUUAGCUAAUGAUAUGCUAUUUUCUAAUAUUAUCCUAACCCCCAGCAAUUUCUUUUUUUUUUUUUGAGAGAAUUCUACAAGAUUUUAAGUACGGAAAUGUUUCUUCUAGAAAAAAGUCACUCUAAAUUAAAUAGAGAGUAUUGUAACAUCAAUGUGGACAGGCAGAUUGGGGGGGGGGGAGAGAGAGGGAAUAAACUAAGGAAAUGAAACAAUAUAUAUAUAUAUAUAAACUGCUAUAUAAAUAGCCUACGUUUUUAAUCUUAUCAAGAAAAGAUAUGAGUCAUAAGGAAAACAGAAAUAUUUUCUGAUUAUUCAUUCUCUGUCGUAACUUGCGUUAUUGGUUUCAUAAAUAAAUAAAGCUUGUUUUAUCUUAAUUUAUUUUUUGUUUUACUUUACAGUCCUAAUACACACUCCACUACUACUGAACAGAUGAUGUUGAAUGAUUGAAAAAAAACGCGCGUCACGCAUUAUUGAUUACUUUUGCCCCUAAAUUAUUCUCGGCUGCUUUAAUGAGACAUGUUUUUCACCCAGGUAUAUUUUUCGAAGGGAGCUGUGCAUUUCCAUGGAAACGCCGUGGUAAAGAUGAAACGGAAAUACCUGUUCCCUUAUUUCCCUGAUACAUACAGCCUGCGAGUAUGCUUAAUAUGCGUAUACAACACAUUUAUACGUAGAAAGGUGUUAUGGAACAAAGAUAUAUAUAUAUAUAUAUAUAUUUAUAAACAGUGUA
rnacentral:misc_RNA from 1 species